rnacentral:tRNA from 1 species
GGCUAUAUAGCUCAGAAGCAGAGCACAUGUGUGUUAUGCAUAAGGCCUUGGGUUCAAUCCCAAUAAUAUUCA